AGAGAGCUUAACCUCUCCCCAAAAAACUCCAAGAGUUCCUGCACAAUCAAUAAGACUCCAAAACUAACUCUAACAAUUAAACCCAAUCCCCUUUCAUACAACCCCUUUCCCACUUUUCCUAACUGCCAAGACAAUCUCCUAUCAAUACUCCCUCUCCUUCAACAACCUUGUCCUCAAGGUUGAGCUCCCUAUCUUCCCAUGUCCGCUGCUUGCCUUUCAAUCUCUCCCUUCAAAAGAUGAGGAUACCAGUAUGGUGGCACACUUAUAUGAUCCACCCUUCCUUGAGUGGGAUUCGGUGUUAUUUAUUAGGUGGCGGAGGCAAUCCGGGUAACUCUCAAAAUACUCGUUAGUGUGGCUGCAACACUACUCUCUAAUUCAGCUUUCUGCNCCUCCAUCAAAUCNCCAUCCCACUCANCGUUCUCCUNUGUCUCCACCANGCCUGGGUCCCACACCAAAGUCCCUGAAUCAGCAUCCACUAGCUUCAAUAUAGUCUUUUGUUCCACCUGCUGUCGCGACAGAGCUGGUUCACCCCUUAUGUUUACCAUCUUNUCCCCCACGUUAUAUANCAUCAUCAUUNNGUCCCANUUAAUCCUAACUUCUCCAAGUUUCGCCAACCAUUCGACCCCCAAGAUAACAUCCACUCCGACCAGCUCGACUAAAUGGAGUCUUUCCUCGACCUCCGCCUCCGCCAAAAUGAUUGCGACCUUUUUACAGCAUCCUCUUGUCAACUUUCUCUGCCAUCCCCCAAACUCACCUGAUAAGGGGGCGUAUCUUCUAUGGGCAGCUUCAGUUCCUCCGCUAAACUCUGUCUGAUAAAGUUGUGACUGACCCCGCUGUCGAUCAGGACCAGCACCCUCCGGUCUCCUAUCAUUCCAGUCAACUUCAUAGUUCUCGGCUGAGUCAACCCCCCCUCCGAACAAGCAGACAAUUCCAUAGAUCUCAGCUCCGGUUCAACCCCAUCACCUGCAUCAUCCUCCUCAUCCUCCGCCAAAAGCAGAAUGCGUAAACUCUUCUCCGAACAUUGAUGGCCUGGUGCAAACGGACCCCCGCACCAAAAACAGAGGUCUUUUUCCCGUCUUUUCAAAAAUUCUGGGAAGGUAAAUUCCUUACCAUUCUUCCCCGAUUGUCGCCUCCUCUGAUGAAACCACCUCUCACGCUAUUCGCCGUCACCGGUCCUUCCCUUAGGUUCGACCCACUUCCCUCCAUUCCUCCGGAACGGUUCAGCGGUUGUCAAUCAACCUCUCCUCGAACGGCAGUGGUCAAGGCUUGCGGAUCCACGACGUUUAGCUUUACGCCGUUCCAACCUCCUCCUCUCGUUCUCGAUAUCGCGUCCUUCACGUCACGUGCGAUUCUUAUCGCACCCUCCAAUUCUUUGGGAUCUUGAAUACGUACUUAAUGUCAUCCCGUAAUCCUGCCAAGAAAAAGCCUAAUGAAAGUUCCUCCGACAACCCUUGCGUCUGUCCCCAUAACCUCUCGUAGCUUCUGGUGAAUUCCUCCACCGAUCCUUCUUGUCGCAGCGUCGCUAACUGUUCGUACACCGUCCCACGACAUCCUCCUCCGAAACGAUUUAUCAGCGCUGCUUUCAAACCCGGCCAAGAACGAUUCUUGGCUUUAUCUUUCCAGAUUUUGAACCAAACAGGUUGCACUCCCCUCCAUGCUAAUAUAAGCAAGCUCCACCUAAUCCUCCUCUGUCACCUUCUGUAUGUCAAAGAAACGCUCCCAGCUGUGCGGUUCUUGCCCAUCAAAUCCCGGUAAGUCUACUCUCUUCCGCCAAUUCUGUUGUAUCCCCCCAUUAUCGCACCUCCCAUUGUUAUCGUUCACGGAGCUACUUCCCCCUUCGGAGCCUCCAUCAUGAUUAUUCUGACCUCCGCCCAUCAUCUUCAUCAUUUGUUGUAAGUCGCGUCUUAUUGCCACCGUCUCCUCCUUAAUACCCUCCACGGUGAUCUCAAGAUUGUCUAUUCUCUCCGACUGUCCGUCCAUUGCUGAUUUCCCACUCCUUUUGGAUCCGGCAGGUCGGACCAAAUGAUAGGUUCCUAAUCGGGAACCUAUGGAAAACACACUUCACCCACACAAAACACACCCAAGAGUGCUGUAUAACCUCUUUGUAUUACUGAGCAAUCAAGAAUACAAGUAUAGAGAGCUUAACCUCUCCCCAAAGAAUUCCAAGAGUUCCUGCACAAUCAAUAAGACUCCAAAACUAACUCUAACAAUUAAACCCAAUCCCCUUUUAUACAACCCCUUUCCCACUUUUCCUAA
rnacentral:lncRNA from 1 species